UACGUAGGGGGCUAGCGUUGCUCGGAAUUACUGGGCGUAAAGGGCGCGUAGGCGGUUCUAUAAGUCAGGCGUGAAAUUCCUGGGCUUAACCUGGGGGCUGCGCUUGAGACUGUGGGACUUGAGGUCAGAAGAGGGUCGUGGAAUUCCCAGUGUAGAGGUGAAAUUCGUAGAUAUUGGGAAGAACACCGGUGGCGAAGGCGGCGACCUGGUCUGAUACUGACGCUGAGGCGCGACAGCGUGGGGAGCAAACAGG
rnacentral:rRNA from 1 species